CAUCUCUUACUUUCUCUUCUUAUCUUCAUCCUCGCCCAAAUUCCCAGUUACCUCUCAUCUCUCUCGUUCUCUUUUCUUAUUCUAAACAAGAUUAGAUCAGAGCGUCAGGUGUUUGGGAGGGCGGCCAUACAAGGAAGGGCGAGCCCAUCACCGUAAACUGGAUCUGAUCUCUCUGCGCUGAUAUGUACGGCCUUUGGCUCUCCCAGCGCCGCCACCACCACUCGGACAACUAUGACGACGGCCACCGUGCCCAGCCCUAUAAUCUGUCCCGCAAAAGGCCCAGCCCCCUCAGCCCGGCAAGAAGCAGUUCAUCAUCGAACCCUUCAAAGGUUUGGCCUCGAUCCUAAAGCUCGCGUCUGUCACGCAGAGAAGUAUAUCAGGGUCGUCGUAGAGCCCCUAGAUCGCCGCCAUCGCAGCUGCUACUGUCAGUCUCGUGAAAUUAGGAGCCAAAGCCAAGCGCCAAUCCGCCGCCGCUUCCUCCUCCGCGCCAAUUCACUUUUCUUCUUCUUCUUCUUCUUCUCCGUUACGCUUCUCCCCUCCGACGACGUCGUUUACUGCUUCGUGCUUGAUCGACCAGCUCAGGGUCGUUUUCCCGGACAUGGAUAAUUAGGUUUCCAGUUUCUCAUCUUUCUUAAAGUAUAGUAGGCAUGAUAAUUUUCAAUUGGGAUUGUAGUUUAAGCUUAUAGUUUAGCAAUAUGGAAGCUUAAACAUGGAAUCUUGCGCUGUUGAAUGUGCGUGUGCUAUGGGUUUAUUUGUUAAUUGGUGUAAAUCUUGCUGAUAUUUUGGUUGAAUUUGUGGUCCUGAAGUUGAGUUAAUGCCUAAUGACAUGUUCAAAAGUUGGUUGUCCGUGGGUAUGUGAUUGACUGCCCUUAUUAACUUGAUCAUCCUCUGCAUCCUUUGUUUCAGGAAGAGUCUCACCUCCUAGAUUAAUAUAUUAAUACAUCAUAAUUGACUUGUUCUUUGUUACAUCAGCUGUUAAGGUAUAAAGUUGGACGGAUAGAGCAGCUGGAAACUUCUGAUCAACCAAAAGCCUGAGGUGCCAACGCUUAAAUCAACAUGUAAGUUUGCAUAAUGAUCUGAAGACAAAGUUUAUCGAAGGGGCCAAAGAACGUAAAGAACUCUACAACAAGGUGUUAGAGUUGAAAGGAAACAUAAGGGUCUUUUGCAGGUGUAGGCCUCUAAACACUGAGGAAGUUUCAGCAGGAGCUUCAAUGGCUAUUGACUUUCAAUCUGAGAAAGAAGGUGAGCUUGCUGUCAAGUCAAAUGGGGUUACAAGAAGGACCUUUAAGUUUGAUGCAGUUUUCGGCCCUCAAGCAGACCAAGCUGAUGUCUUCGAAGACACAACUCCAUUUGCAACCUCAGUUCUAGAUGGGUACAAUGUCUGCAUAUUUGCUUACGGGCAGACUGAAAGUGGAAAAACCUUUACAAUGGAGGGAACGGAAGAAGCUCGGGAGUCAAUUUUAGGACUCUUGAGCAACUGUUUCGUAUAAUAAAAUAGCGAGAAAAGUUGCAUAGAUAUGAUGUGUCUGUUAGUGAAGAAUUUUGUAUCCCAAUGCAAGUGAAGCAUCUUAGAAUGGUGGUUCUGCACAUGAGACCCGAAUAGAAACCAAAUUCUCACAGAGUGUUGAACCUGCAAUGGCAAUUGUGCCAAUUAUAGCCCAAUCAUAGCUUGGGUUACAAGUUAGUCUACUUCCCUGUAUUACAAAUUCAAUUUGCUUGCUUUCUUAUCACUAUUCUUUAUAGCCUUUGAAUUAGUUUUUUGAAGCUUAGAAGUUGGUUUGCAUUCUAUUUUGAAAAUUGAUAUUGGAUAUGCAAUUCAUAAGUCUUUAAUAGGAUUUUUGUAGCUGUUAUACAGAAUGAUAGGAGGAGUACUGUUAUGUGAUAUUCCACAAAUAUGUUGAGCUCUAUCAAUGAAGUUGAUAAUUAACGGGGAUCACAUAUGUUUUUUUUUGGGGUCUUAAAGAAUGCUGGACUUGGAGCAUCUUUUGCCAGCUCCCAUUGGUAUUGUUGACUGCAAGACACAAGUUAUUCGGUGGGAAGAGGGUAAUUCAAAUAACUUCAGCUGGUAUAGUAUAUGCUUAUCUUGCAGAGUGGAUGAGCGAAUGAAUGUAAAGUAGUGUAGAA